ensembl:snoRNA
GCUGUAAUGAUGAUCCCCAUGCGUGUCAACUGACUCCAGAGUACCCUGUGCUCCCUGACCACUCCCCAGUGUUCUGCUGGGUGUGCGCUCGGGGCCACAGGUCUCUGCAGGCAUGAUCAGACCUCACUGACCUGAACGCAGC